AGGACGAACGCUGGCGGCGUGCCUAACACAUGCAAGUGGAGCGACGACCCGGGCUUCGGCCCGGUGCAAAGCCGCGAACGGGUGAGUAACACGUGGGUAACCUGCCCUGAUGAUCGGGACAACUCGAGGAAACUCGGGCUAAUACCGAAUGUGCCCUCCGGCCGUAAGGCCUCUGGGGAAAGGAAGCUUCGGCCUCCGCAUCGGGAUGGGCCCGCGGCCCAUUAGCUUGUUGGUGAGGUAACGGCUCACCAAGGCAACGAUGGGUAGCUGGUCUGAGAGGACGAUCAGCCACACUGGGACUGAGACACGGCCCAGACUCCUACGGGAGGCAGCAGUGGGGGAAUCUUGCGCAAUGCGCGAAAGCGUGACGCAGCAACGCCGCGUGGGGGAAGAAGGCCUUCGGGUUGUAAACCCCUUUCAGUUGGGACGAAGCUUCGGCGGUGAAUAGCCGUCUGGAGUGACGGUACCUUCAGAAGAAGCCCGGCUAACUACGCGCCAGCAGCCGCGGUAAC
rnacentral:rRNA from 1 species